rnacentral:rRNA from 1 species
GAUGAACGCUGGCGGCGUGCCUAAUACAUGCAAGUCGAGCGAACGGACGAGAAGCCUGCUUCUCUGAUGUUAGCGGCGGACGGGUGAGUAACACGUGGAUAACCUACCUAUAAGACUUGGAUAACUUCGGGAAACCGGAGCUAAUACCGGAUAAUAUUUUGAACCGCAUGGUUCAAAAGUGAAAGACGGUCUUGCUGUCACUUAUAGAUGGAUCCGCGCUGCAUUAGCUAGCUGGUAAGGUAACGGCUUACCAAGGCAACGAUGCAUAGCCGACCUGAGAGGGUGAUGCGCCACACUGGAACUGAGACCCGGUCCAGACUCCUACGGGCGGCAGCAGUAGGGAAUCUUCCGCAAUGGACGAAAGCCUGACGGAGCAACGCCGCGUGAGUGAUGAAGGUCUUCGGAUCGUAAAACUCUGUUAUUAGGGAAGAACAUAUGUGUAAGUAACUGUGCACAUCUUGCCGGUACCUAAUCAGAAAGCCACGGCUAACUGCGUG